CCCAUAUGGAAUGCUGAGAAGUGCUGAAACUCAUUCUGUGCAUCGUGAUGACUAAUUGAAAGAAACAGCUUGAUGAAUUUUCUAGUCCAGCCAGAGAUCCCCAGCCUGCUUUACAUGGAGAUAAUCACAUAUGCAGCACACUGGAUGAGUCAAUGCCAUACUUCGGAAAAGAAAAAGUAUACUGUAAAAGUACAGGGAGAUUAUAAGAGGAACUCUAGUCUCCAGUCAGUAUAACUGUUCACUUAUCAGAAGGUAUGCUGGCUUUGCCCAAAGAUUUGCUAGGGAAUUCUCCUUACUGUCCCAUUGAGUGGUAUGCUAUUAAGUGACUCCAGCUGAGUAUUAAAAUAGAAAAAAAAUCAAAAAAAUUUUUUUUUUUUUUUGGUGUUGUUAUAAUGUAAGCUUUGAAUCAGCAGCAUUAGAGACAAAACUGGAUUAAUAUAAAUCCUUCAAGGGAUAAAACACCUUUGCAGGUUAACACUGCCCUCUGCUUAAAUACUCCCAAAUUCUCUCUUUUGUAUUGAUUUAUCUAAACAGGGCUGCCUGGCUGCAUACAAUGAGAGGCUUCCUCUGCAGGUCAGUUAACAGGUACUUGGAUAGGAUUCAAACUUUUGUUAGGCACAGAAAAUCCCAUUAGAUGUUACUACAGGUGGCUGCUGCAUGUUUGCUACCAAUAUGAAUAUUACAUUUAGAAACCUGGAGUAGAUGGUAUGAAAAACCUGACAGCUAUAAAUCUUGUAUUUGAAGUAGACAGCUUUAUUGACUGCUACUGUCUUUGAGAUGGAAAAAAAGGGAAAUCUGUUCUAGCCUUUUGAUUUAGUAUGAGAGAGCACUAUUUAGGGAUGAUUGAUGGUUGAAAAGUGACUUAGCAACUGCUCCACAUGAUUGUGUUACACUACAUAAUAGGUUAAGCAGGAAAGAGGGGCUCCUGAAUUUAAAGGCACUAAACAUCAUUUUAUUGUAAAUGAGAAAAAUCAGUGCAAGUCUGACAUGGAUGUGUUCAUUUAUAUUCUAGACCAAACUAAAAGAGUAUAUUAUAAAUUAUUAAUUUCCAGGCUAGUUGUAUACUUCCCUGAACUAUUUUCUGGGUCAUGCUAAAUUUCAUGCUUUUUCAGGAUCUGUAAAUAGAUAUUUUGGGUUCAUUCUGAAGCUGCUCCCUGUCCAUUCUGCCUGAAAUUUAAUGUUGCCUUACACUGAGAUGCUAUUAGCCUGAUCACUCCCAUGUGUAGAACUGUAGCCAUUCUACAUCCAGUGGAAUUUUAAUAGCAAAAGUCACUAGAUUUUUAUUUAUUUAUUUAAAAUUAAAUAAUUUUAAAAUUUAUUUAUUUUAAUGUCAGGAAGUUUCUUACAAGUUGAGGAUAAAAUUCUGCCUGCACUGAAGCAAAAAAGCAAUGCUUUUUGUGGAGGCAGGAUGUCUCUUGGACUUUUCCACAUAUUUGUGUUUAGGUUAUGCUUUGAAGUGCAUACAUAGAUAAAAGAUGGCAAAAUCAUUCAUCUUGUCUGAAUCUCACAUUUCCAAUCAAUAUAGCAGGGUGGAUAAUGUACACAUCGGGUAUAAUAAGAAGGGAGGUUAAAAGCUUUGACAGCUUUGAAUCAAUCAAUAUAAUCAAUACAAAGUUAUCAGAUGUAUUAUUAAUAAAAUUUAAAAAUAUACAGUGGUGUUCUAUUAU
rnacentral:lncRNA from 1 species